GCGCCUGUAGCUCAGGGGUAGAGCACGUCACUGAUAAUGACGGGGUCCAUGGUUCAAAUCCAUGCAGGCGCAUCA
rnacentral:tRNA from 5 species